rnacentral:rRNA from 1 species
UACGUAGGGUGCAAGCGUUGUCCGGAAUUAUUGGGCGUAAAGAGCUCGUAGGCGGUUUGUCGCGUCUGCUGUGAAAACCCGAGGCUCAACCUCGGGCCUGCAGUGGGUACGGGCAGACUAGAGUGCGGUAGGGGAGAUUGGAAUUCCUGGUGUAGCGGUGGAAUGCGCAGAUAUCAGGAGGAACACCAAUUGCGAAGGCAGCUCGCUGGGACGUUACUGACGCUGAGACGCGAAAGCGUGGGGAGCAAACAGG